rnacentral:rRNA from 1 species
UACGUAGGGUGCGAGCGUUGUCCGGAAUUAUUGGGCGUAAAGCGCACGUAGGCGGCUUUGUAAGUUAGAGGUGAAAGCCCGGGGCUCAACUCCGGAAUUGCCUUUAAGACUGCAUCGCUAGAAUUGUGGAGAGGUAAGUGGAAUUCCGAGUGUAGAGGUGAAAUUCGUAGAUAUUCGGAAGAACACCAGUGGCGAAGGCGACUUACUGGACACAUAUUGACGCUGAGGUGCGAAAGCGUGGGGAGCAAACAGG